rnacentral:rRNA from 1 species
UACGAAGGGUGCAAACGUUGCUCGGAAUUAUUGGGCGUAAAGCGCACGUAGGCGGCUUAGCAAGUUGGAUGUGAAAUCCCUCGGCUCAACCAAGGAAGUGCAUCCAAAACUGCUGAGCUUGAGUACUUAAGAGGAUCGCGGAAUUCCCGGUGUAGAGGUGAAAUUCGUAGAUAUCGGGAGGAACACCAAUGGCGAAGGCGGCUUCCUGGCCUGUUCUUGACGCUGAGGCGCGAAAGCUAGGGGAGCAAACGGG